rnacentral:rRNA from 1 species
UACGUAGGGGGCGAGCGUUGUCCGGAAUGACUGGGCGUAAAGGGUGUGUAGGCGGUUUAUUAAGUUAGAAGUGAAAUACCUAGGGCUUAACCCAGGUGCUGCUUCUAAAACUGAUAGACUUGAGUGCAGUAGAGGAAAGUGGAAUUCCUAGUGUAGCGGUGGAAUGCGUAGAUAUUAGGAGGAACAUCAGUGGCGAAGGCGGCCGCCUGGCCUGUUGCUGACGCUGAGGCACGAAAGCGUAGGGAGCAAAUAGG